UUUGACUUUAAAAUAUAUUCAGUCCUGUAUGAUCAUACAAAUAGGCGCGCGACAAAGCUGCAUUGACUCAAUUUCGAAAUUAUCAAGGUAAGCCAUUUGUCUGUAUUGGGUGGCCGAAACCGCGCUGAUGUGUGCCGGCGCAUUCUGAAGCAUUGCAUGUCAAAUGAGGUGGCCAACCAGUACAGCUGGCAUGGGAGGAAGAAAAAGGCAGUAUUUGGAAAACUUCCAUUGGCUGAUGCUGUGCAGAAAGCUGUCAUGCGGUCCUUGAAAUGCACAGCUGCAGAAGUUGAACAUGAGUGCAGGGAAUGGUUUAGAACAGCCUCUGACCGUGACGGUGGAAGAAAAAAGAGGACAGCCAAAAAAAGUGAUGAACGGUCCCAAUGAAUUUUAACUCGUGUGUGUUUUAACUUUUAAUUUAGUCUCCUGCUGCAAUUUGUUAUGAUGUAAAGGUCUCUUUGAACUUGAAAUUAAUGAUUUUACACAACUUUUCUUUUAAUAUGCAUACUGAUGGAA